GCUGGAAUUGCUAGUAAUGGCAGGUCAGCAUACUGCCGUGAAUACGUUCCCGGGCCUUGUACACACCGCCCGUCACACCAUGAGAGUUGGAAAUACCCGAAGCCUGUGAGCUAACUGUAAAGAGGCAGCAGUCGAAGGUAGAGCCAAUGAUUGGGGUGAAGUCGUAACAAGGUAGC
rnacentral:rRNA from 1 species